rnacentral:tmRNA from 1 species
GGGGGCGUAAAGGUUUCGACGGGGAUUUUGAACCAACGAAAGCGAGCAGCGGUGCGGAACCGCUUUAAAAUCCGCAACUUAAAAUUAACUGACAACAAUAAAGUUGCCUUAGCUGCCUGAUUAGGCGGCCGUCCGACCGGAGAUUACCGCGGCUUCGGCUCGGGCGUCAUUUAGCGGUGAACGUGAAUAUUCUCUUUGGUCCUGAGAGGGUAUCACGGUUUUAGGGCCUACCGUUUUUUCCGCCUGACAACCGGCUGAAAACACGGGAAUUUAAACGAUUGUCUGCGCUCGGAGAUGUCGUUGGGAAUUGAUUUUCGGACGGGAGUUCGACUCUCCCCGCCUCCACCA